AGUGAACGCUGGCGGUAGGCCUAACACAUGCAAGUCGAACGGCAGCACAGUAAGAGCUUGCUCUUACGGGUGGCGAGUGGCGGACGGGUGAGGAAUACAUCGGAAUCUACUUUUUCGUGGGGGAUAACGUAGGGAAACUUACGCUAAUACCGCAUACGACCUACGGGUGAAAGCAGGGGAUCUUCGGACCUUGCGCGAUUGAAUGAGCCGAUGUCGGAUUGGCUAGUUGGCGGGGUAAAGGCCCACCAAGGCGACGAUCCGUAGCUGGUCUGAGAGGAUGACCAGCCACACUGGAACUGAGACACGGUCCAGACUCCUACGGGAGGCAGCAGUGGGGAAUAUUGGACAAUGGGCGCAAGCCUGAUCCAGCCAUACCGCGUGGGUGAAGAAGGCCUUCGGGUUGUAAAGCCCUUUUGUUGGGAAAGAAAAGCAGCAGGUUAAUACCCCGCUGUUCUGACGGUACCCAAAGAAUAAGCACCGGCUAACUUCGUG
rnacentral:rRNA from 1 species